GAUGAACGCUGGCGGCGUGCCUAAUACAUGCAAGUCGAGCGAACAGACGAGGAGCUUGCUCCUCUGACGUUAGCGGCGGACGGGUGAGUAACACGUGGAUAACCUACCUAUAAGACUGGCAUAACUUCGGGAAACCGGAGCUAAUACCGGAUAAUAUAUUGAACCGCAUGGUUCAAUAGUGAAAGACGGUUUUGCUGUCACUUAUAGAUGGAUCCGCGCCGCAUUAGCUAGUUGGUAAGGUAACGGCUUACCAAGGCGACGAUGCGUAGCCGACCUGAGAGGGUGAUCAGCCACACUGGAACUGAGACACGGUCCAGACUCCUACGGGAGGCAGCAGUAGGGAAUCUUCCGCAAUGGGCGAAAGCCUGACGGAGCAACGCCGCGUGAGUGAUGAAGGUCUUCGGAUCGUAAAACUCUGUUAUUAGGGAAGAACAAAUGUGUAAGUAACUAUGCACGUCUUGACGGUACCUAAUCAGAAAGCCACGGCUAACUACGUG
rnacentral:rRNA from 1 species